rnacentral:rRNA from 1 species
AGUACCGUGAGGGAAAGGCGAAAAGAACCCCGGGAGGGGAGUGAAAUNGAUCCUGAAACCGUAUGCUUACAAAAAGUAGGAGCCUCGUAAGGGGUGACUGCGUACCUUUUGUAUAAUGGGUCAGCGACUUACAUUUCAGUGGCAAGGUUAACCCGAAUAGGGNAAGCCGUAGAGAAAUUCGAGUCCGAAUAGGGCGUCAUAGUCGCUGGGUGUAGACCCCGAAACCAAGUGAUCUAUCCAUGGGCAGGAUGAAGGUGCCGUAACAGGUACUGGAGGUCCGAACCGACUAGUGUUGCAAAACUAGCGGAUGAGCUGUGGAUAGGGGUGAAAGGCUAAACAAACUUGGAAAUAGCUGGUUCUCUCCGAAAACUAUUUAGGUAGUGCCUCAAGUAUUACCGUCGGGGGUAGAGCACUGUUUUGGCUAGGGGGUCAUGGGCGACUUACCAAACCAAGGGCAAACUCCGAAUACCGACGAGUACAGCUUGGGGAGACAGAGCACCGGGGUGCUAACGUCCGGACUCAAGAGGGAAACAACCCAGACCGCCAGCUAAGGUCCCUAAAAUUGGCUAAGUGGGAAACGAAGUGGGAAGGCUAUAACAGUCAGGAUGUUGGCUUAGAAGCAGCCAU